AUGCGGGGAGAAGCAGAGAUGCUGACGGAGGGAACACCCUGGCCAUGUGAAGUCCCGUCCAGGCCCCCAAGGCCCCACUUCCUCUCUCUCUGUCUGGGAACGUCCCACUGUCCCUCCCUGCCCUGGGAACCAAUAAACCCCUCCUUUUGCUUAACCUUGCUUGAGGUGAGGUCCCUGCAACCCAUGUGUCCUGACCACCCCAGAGGCUUGGCUGCCUCUGCUUUUGUCUUGCCAAGGAUGCUUCAGAGGUGGACAGGACAGGACGUCAGGAAGGGGAGGCACCCGGGGCAGAGCCUCUGCGAGGGCUCUCCCCGAAGGUCCACUUCUCACAGGAAGUCCUCCCAGACCCCAGCUCCCUCUCUGAACGCAGCCCCAGUCCGACUUCCUCUGUCUCCCUCCAGGAAUCCGGUGACGCAGCAGAGAAAGUGGCAGUUAGUUUCCAGAGGAGGCCGAGUCCCUCGUGCCCGCACACAGCUCGUGGAGCCGGACACUCUGAGUCCUCGGGGUGGAGAAGGGAGUGAAGCAUCGAAGAUGGCCUCCUGGUCAGAGGAGGGGUUUCUUGUACGCCGGCUGACCUUGGCUGGCGUUCUGUUGACUGCAGGGGAGCUGAUGGCAUGCUCAGAACCCAGGUGAUGCCCACCCUCUUGGAUUUGGCCGCUGGGUGGGUGGCGGGGCCCUCAGCUGAGAUGGGGGAAAGUGGAGAACAGUUUGGGGUGUGGGCGGGACUCGGUCCUGGGGGAAGAAGACUAAUUCAGUUUUGGACGUGGCUCCCGAUGUGUCUGCAGGAGUGGCCGGGGAGACGGGCUAAAGCAGCUUUGCUGACGCGUAGGCUCUCAGGGCAGCAGACACGGCCUGAGGACCUGAGCCAGCCAGCCAGCCAGCCAGCCAGCCAUCGCUGAGAGGGCAACCCGUGCCCCCAGGACGCCUGCCACAGUCCUGGACCUUUACUUAGGGCAUGUAGGAGACGCUCUAACCCCCAGAAUCCAUUUCUCACAGCGAGCCAGAAAGACAAGAGGGGCAAGGAAAUCUUUUUUGGAAUGAGGGAAAAAAGAUUCUGGGCGUCUCUGGCGGAAAUCCCUGCCUUGUUCAGAGCACAGUCGUCCACUUAUUUGAUUCUAGGCUUUCGUUACCUUUGAGCUGCUUUACAACGAAGUUAUGAGUUAACGCAAAGCACUUCUUGUCUACGGACGCGCCUAACUGUACGUAGGAGAAUGAGGCCCAAGAAAAGCCAAUCCCAAAAUUCCUUUACUCCAUAUAGAUCUACGUGAUUUCUCUUUCGAGCUGUUAAUCUUACCAGCUUCCUCGUUUAAAUAAAAUUUUUGAUACGUGCA
rnacentral:lncRNA from 1 species